rnacentral:rRNA from 1 species
GACGAACGCUGGCGGCGUGCUUAACACAUGCCAGUCGAACGGAAAGGCCCUGCUUUUGUGGGGUGCUCGAGUGGCGAACGGGUGAGUAACACGUGAGUAACCUGCCCUUGACUUUGGGAUAACUUCAGGAAACUGGGGCUAAUACCGGAUAGGAGCUCCUGCUGCAUGGUGGGGGUUGGAAAGUUUCGGCGGUUGGGGAUGGACUCGCGGCUUAUCAGCUUGUUGGUGGGGUAGUGGCUUACCAAGGCUUUGAAGGGUAGCCGGCCUGAGAGGGUGACCGGCCACAUUGGGACGGAGAUGCGGCCCAGACUCGUACGGGAGGCAGCAGUGGGGAAUAGUGCACAAUGGGCGGAAGCCUGAUGCAGCAACGCCGCGUGCGGGAUGACGGCCUUCGGGUUGUAAACCGCUUUCGCCUGUGACGAAGCGUGAGUGACGGUAAUGGGUAAAGAAGCACCGGCUAACUACGUG